rnacentral:snRNA from 1 species
GUGCUCACUUCGGCAGCACAUAUACUAAAACUGGAACGAUACAGAGAAGAUUAGCGUGGCCCUUGCGCAAGGAUGACAUGCAAAUUCGUGAAGCACUCCAUAUAUUA